UACGGGGGGGGGUAAGCGUUGUUUCGGAAUUACUGGGCGUAAAGGGCUCGUAGGCGGCCAACUAAGUCGGAUGUGAAAUCCCCCAAGCUUAACUUGGGAACUGCAUCCGAUACUGGAUGGCUUGAAUCCGGGAGAGGGAUGCAGAAUUCCAGGUGUAGCGGUGAAAUGCGUUGAUAUCAUCAGGAACACCGGAGGCGAAGGCGGCUCACUGGGGCUUUUCUGACGCUGAGGAACGAAAGCCAGGGGAGCGAACGGG
rnacentral:rRNA from 1 species